CCCGAGAGUAAAGCGGCACUUCCAAGGGCACGAUUGCGCAUGCGCCUGGCUAAAUCCUUUUUCGCGGGAACAAGGUUUGAAACUUUGAAACUAUCUGUGGGGUUAGUAGUAAACCAAAUUUGGCCCUCCAGAAAGGUCCGAGGGAGUCAAGCACACACCGCUACGUUCUUCAAGAUUUUGCAGUCAUAACUCUGUAUGACUGCGUAGUCGUCCCUUCUUUCCCUUGUAUAUUGGCUGUGAAUUCUGUGUGAGAGGAGGGUUUCAGCGAAUCCAGUAAUAAAGGAGUGGGCGUGAGAGAGCGGAUCAAGGUUUUAAAAUAAGGAUGACUUUUAUGUGUUUGGAAAGAUAACUCGGGGAGCGACUUAAAGGAAUAAAUCUGAGGGGACCAAGAUUUUUUUUUUUUCUUUACUGGAGACCAUGGGAGACUGCUGAACUGAGGUAGUGCAGUGGGAAGGAGAUGGGAAAAUUUGAGAGGUAAAUGAAGGCAGUAACUAUACAGCACACGCGAGAGGUGAGACUAGAAAGACAGGACAAUUGGCAAGGAGAAGAAGUUUUCCCGAAAAUAGUGUGAACCUGUGCAUGUCUGUAAACAGGCAGAAAUGAUGAGGCCGUGAUUCGUAAGGUGAAAAUUGGGAAGUCCCUAAAUGGGUGGAACAAGGAGGAUUCUGAAACGCGUAGCCGUGAACAAGGGCUGAGGUUAGGCUUAGAAAGAACAGUUAAAGUAACAGGAGUCAGGAAUUUGGGAACUGUCUUGAGAGAACUGACUAAUCUUACCUCUUUCUCAGGAUACAUGGGACACCUGCACAAGCAUUGGAUUUUUGCCCUGCAACGUCUGAAAGCUACCACGCAGACACCUGCAGGACUCUCUCUCCCAGAAGCAGGCUACGAGCCAAGGGGAAGGCAGAGGACAGAAAUGAAUGUGUUCCCAAGCUUUCCUGGUGGUUUAUGGAAUUCUCCAAACUCCUAUGCAAGGGUUAUUCCUGACGGAGAAGACCAAAGGAGACCAUCCCUGAAAUCAAGUCCAGAUGAAGAAAUCCCGUCAGAGAACUCAGCCUCCAGAAAACAAAAGCCAAGGAAACAGUAUUGUCUCAGGCCCAGUAAUACAACUCUCCUGCAAAAUAAGGCAGAACUUAGGGUCUGGGGUCAUUCUCAGAAGGGGACAGAAAAAAAAAAUCUCCGCAAAGAGCACAGCACAAAUCAAUUCUCGAGUGACUUAGUAUCUUGCCUCCGUACAAUGCGGUGGAGUCUUCCAGUUGCAAUUAUCAGUGGGCAACACUGACUCCGUGGAACAGUGACCUGCAGGUGAGUGAAUCAGGCCUCCUCUUUUUCCCCUCCUCUAGGCAGAAAUGAAGGCAUUCUUUGCUCCCUGCUUAAAUGACCAGAUGGGGACAUAUUGUGGAGUGGGAUAGGCGAAUAGGGGAACCAAUCUGGUACAGAGUCAAAGGAAGUUCCCGGAGGCACUUAGGCCCUCUAGGCCCCGCUUACCCCUUUUUCUCUCUUUCUUGUCCCCCAUCCCCUGUGAGGUAGGUUUUUUUUUGACUGCAGAGAAGUCUGAGUUGCCUCAAGGAAAACAGCCUACCACAAGUACUAAGUCCAGGCCUUAAGGAGCCUGAAACAUUGUUCAAGAUCUGGAAGGUAGCUGGGGAUCCAGGGCAGCUUAGGGACUGGGUUUUCUUGUCUUGUCAUCUGUCUGCAGCAGGUGUCCUAGGGAGUCUACUAGCAAUGGCUUGUUCUUCUCUGUCAUGGCUGCUACCGCUUCCUUUGGUUCCCCAACCACCCAGCCCUAAAGAAGGUCCUCCUACCGUGCUCUGCUCUUUUCUUUCACAGAACUCACUACAACUUACUGGUUUUAUUUGUACUUAUUUAUUCCUCUUCUCUCCAUCCCUCCACAGCAUAGUCAUAAUUAGACUGUGAACUUCCUGAAGGUAGGGACAUGGUUUUAUUGGUCAUUGUAUACAUAGUUCUUAGCACAGUACAUUCUGGCACAUAGUAUGAUCUUAAAUGGAUUUAUGGAAUGAUGAAUGACUUAAUGAAAAUGGGCAAAGAAUCUCAAUAGACAUUUCUCCAAACUUAUCUAUUUAUCUGACAACUGGAUGUCUCUACUUGGGUAUCUGCUAAGAAUGUAACUCACCCAAAAUAGAACUACUGAUUUCCAGAUCCCCAAACUUUUUCUCCCCCCCCCCCCCAUCGCAGACCCUCAAACCUAGGAGUCAUCCCUGUUCCCCUAACCCCAUCACACACCAACAGAUAUUCUUGGCUCUGUCUCCAGAAUAUUUUCA
ensembl:lncRNA